AUGGAGUCACGCUUAAACCCCAUUGCCCUUGAGUUGAUUCCAGUUCAAGGCAGCACCAUGUGUUACCGAGAGAAUGGCUCCAUAGUCUUCUUGGCUGUUAUCCUCGUGGAAGUAGAUCACCAGACCUUUCUUCGGCAGUGCUGCUGCACAAAUUUGAAUCACAAGCUACCAGCUUUUAGGUUCGCCUUUUUCCAAGCGGCCGGAAAGAUAGCGGACAUUCAGACUGAGGGAGCCUACCAGAAGCAGCCGACCAUCUUCCAGAACAAAAAGAGAGUGCUAUUGGGUGAAACUGGCAAGGAGAAGCUCCCACGUUAUUACAAGAACAUCGGUCUGGGCUUCAAGACACCCAAGGAGGCCAUCGAGGGCACCUACAUUGACAAGAAUUGCCCUUUCACUGGUAAUGUCUCCAUCCGAAGGGGGAAUCCUGUCUGGCGUGGUGACAAAGAUGAAGAUGCAGAGGACCAUCGUCAUCCGCCGAGAUUACCUCCACUACAUCCGCAAGUACAAUCGCUUCGAGAAGCGUCACAAGAACAUGUCCGUGCACCUGUCUCCCUGCUUCAGAGAUGUCCAGAUUGGCCACAUUGUCACCGUGGGCGAGUGCCGGCCACUGAGCAAGACCGUGCGCUUCAACGUGCUCAAGGUCACCAAGGCCGCGGGCACCAAGAAGCAGUUCCAGAAGUUCUGA